rnacentral:lncRNA from 1 species
CAUGAACAGAUACAAACACGUGCUGUAUAGACUUUCCAAUCGCCUUUCGGGCCUUCUUUUCCCCUGGCAGUCUGUGAUAUAUCAUCCCCUUCUUAUAAUCGGAUUUGCAUUUGUAAGCAGCUGGCAUCUUGAACACAAUUGUCUUCCAAAACAACUCGUUUCGUUUGUUGUUAUCCAGUAUACAACUGCGUAUUUCAUCUUGUUAAUAAAAUGCUUUCUUCCAAAAUUAAUAAACCACAAGGAAAUAUCUGGCCAAUAUAUAGUUUUUAACGAGCUUCGAAGCCAAAUAUAUGCCGCUCUUUUGCUGAGGUGAUAUGAAACACAACACGCGUGUGUAUAAAUAUUGCGAAAUACCUUCGGGGGGGGGAGGGUGAUGGAGAGGGGGGGGCAGGGCGCUUCCGAUAUUGAGGAACGUAAACAAAACUGCCGUAUUUUAUUAUAUUGUUAUAUUUUAAAAGCAAACAAAAAUCAAAU